CGCGACCCCGUGUCGCGCCGGUUUACCCGCAGAUUAUCAUAAUCAAGU
rnacentral:rRNA from 1 species